UCUCCCCGUUGUUUCCCCUCCCUCCUCUCCCUCUCUCCCCUUCCUUCUCCCUCUUCUCCCUUUCUCUAGCUCUUCCUCUUCCAAACCAGGUUUUCUUUCGCCUUUUACAAGGGAGUGCCUUGUGCUGAAAGGGUUGCUUUAGGCUUGUUCUAGCUGUUUGGAAGAGAGGAAAAAUGACUUAAAAAUGUAGGGGGCAGAGAUGAAAUGAAAACUGAAUUGGCCCUUGGUGAAAUGGGGCAGCAGGUGCAUUAAUUACCCUUGAUUGCAUGUUGGUUGAUUACCUCGGUCACUGGUGCCUUGUGAUCUGCAUUAACAUCUGCGUCCGGCACAUAUCUUCGGUAUUUCUCUAAGCAAGAUGAAUAUUGACCAGAUGGUGACUUCUCGAGGACAUAAUUCACAGAGCAUUUUUCCUGCCCCCACAUAGAUCCCUGUAAAGGAAUCCUGAAUGUCAAUGCCGAACAAAGCACAACAAGGAAAACACCCCCCCCCCCCAAAGACUGGGCAGUAAGUUGAAGAUUAAUGACCUCCUUGGCAAUGCCUGACAGAAGACCAAAUGGCAGGCAGGUCCCAGGCUCCAGCACACAGAUCUUGCCAGCUCCGUCCCCCAUCUUUUCAGAGGAAACGAAUGUUAUUUGUAGAUCCAUUUUGUGUGGCCAAGAGAAGACUGCUGGCUAGCCACCCACUGAAAUGUAACUGGCCACACAGAAAACUGGACCAUGCCUUCUCCUUAGCAGAGGCUGACAUAGUCCAGUUACUUGUGGAGAAGAGAGAAAUUACAAGAAAAUGCAGCAAGACAAGAAGCUGGAGAUUGAUCAUCUGUCAGUCAAAUGAAGAUUCCUUUUGGAAUGUGACCGGGAAAAGCAAUUUGGAGGCAAGCCAACUGCUGGAAUUUUUCUGGGUCUUUAGUUUAGGCUUUCUGGUUGAUGUGAAGGAAGAAGCUGGGUUUUUUAAUCUCUGGGACUUGGGAUAAUCAAGUUGGAGGUGACCUGGCUGAUUUGAAGGCAGAAGAAGAAGGACAAUAGUCCAUAUAUCUCUCUGACAGGCUCUGUUUCAUGCUAGUGACUGAAUCGCCAUUUCUCUCAAUAUCCUCCAAUCUAACACUCACUGUAGAGAAUAGGGAUAUCCCACCCCUCUUACCUCCAUCCUCCACCCUUGUCCUGUCUUCCCCAAAUAAACCCCUUAUUUGACAAAGAAGAUUAAGAACU
rnacentral:lncRNA from 1 species